rnacentral:rRNA from 1 species
GACGAACGCUGGCGGCGUGCUUAACACAUGCAAGUCGAACGAUGAAGCCGGAGCUUGCUCUGGUGAAUUAGUGGCGAACGGGUGAGUAACACGUGAGUAACCAGCCCUUGACUCUGGGAUAACUGCUAGAAAUGGUAGCUAAUACCGGAUACGACCCUCGGAGGCAUCUCCCGGGGGUGGAAAGAAUUUCGGUCAAGGAUGGACUCGCGGCCUAUCAGCUAGUUGGUGAGGUAAUGGCUCACCAAGGCGACGACGGGUAGCCGGCCUGAGAGGGUGACCUGGCACACUGGGACUGUGACACGGCCCAGACUCCUACGGGAGGCAGCAGUGGGGAAUAUUGCACAAUGGGCGCAAGCCUGAUGCAGCAACGCCGCGGGAGGGAUGACGGCCGUCGGGUUGUAAACCUCUUUUAGUAGGGAAGAAGCGAAAGUGACGGUACCUGCAGAAAAAGCACCGGCUACCUACGUGCCAGCAGCCGCGGUAA